rnacentral:tRNA from 2 species
UUAAUUGAAGCCAAAAUAGAGGCUUUUCAUUGUUAAUGAAAUCAUUGAUUUACUUAAUCCAAUUAAA